rnacentral:rRNA from 1 species
AGCUCCAAUAGUGUAUAUUAAAGUUGUUGCAGUUAAAAAGCUCGUAGUUGAAUUUAGUACUUUUUAUGGUGAUUUUCCCUCUUUCAUUAAGUAUUGAGGUGUAUUAAGCCAUUGCUGUACCUUUGGUAUCUUAACUCAGUACGUAAGGAAAGGUUCUGAUACUUGUUUACCUUGAAAAAAUUAGAGUGUUCAAAGCAGGCGUUAAUUUUAUCGCCUUGAAUAUAUUAGCAUGGGAUAAUAAAAGAGGACGAGAGUCCGAUUUUGUUGGUUUCUGGAGCUCACGUAAUGAUUAAUAGGGAUAGUUGGGGUCACUAGUAUUUACGGGUUAGGGGUGAAAUCCUAUGAUCCUGUAAAGACUCUCUACUGCGAAAGCAUUUGACAAGGAUGUUUUCAUUAAUCA